rnacentral:rRNA from 1 species
GAGUUUGAACCUGGCUCAGGAUGAACGCUGGCGGCGUGCUUAACACAUGCAAGUCGAACGGAGAUAUCAUUUUCGAAGCGAUUAGUUUACUAAGAGUAGAGAUGUUGAUAUCUUAGUGGCGGACGGGUGAGUAACGCGUGGGUAACCUGCCUUACACUGGGGGAUAACACUUAGAAAUAGGUGCUAAUACCGCAUAAUAGGAGAAGACGUAUGUCUUAUCCUUGAAAACUCCGGUGGUGUAAGAUGGACCCGCGUCUGAUUAGCCAGUUGGCGGGGUAACGGCCCACCAAAGCGACGAUCAGUAGCCGGCCUGAGAGGGUGAACGGCCACAUUGGGACUGAGACACGGCCCAAACACCUACGGGAGGCAGCAGUGGGGAAUAUUGGACAAUGGGGGGAACCCUGAUCCAGCGACGCCGCGUGAGUGAAGAAGUAUCUCGGUAUGUAAAGCUCUAUCAGCAGGGAAGAAAGAAAUGACGGUACCUGACUAAGAAGCCCCGGCUAACUACGUGCCAGCAG